UCAAAAACAUCUCUUCUCGACUGAUACCUGAAUGGGAAGUAGGCCCUGCCCGGUGACCUAGCGGUUAAACGGCGGUUAGGUCCUUAAAGUAGCAUAAUCAAUUGGCCUUUAAUUGGGGUCUGGUAUGAAUGGGUUGACGUCGGAGCAACUUUCUUAUGGAGGUAGAUGAAAUUUAUAUUCUAGUGAAAAAGCUGGGUUAUUUUUAAAAGACGAGAAGACCCUGUCGAGCUUGUUAACUUUACUUGGAAGCUCGAACAAAGUAGAUUUGUUGGGGAAACAACGGAGAAAGGAAACCUCCGUCAUUUCUGAUGUAGGUCCCACCUUGUGGAAGAGAGAAAUAGCUACCGCAGGGAUAACAGCGCGAGACCACCCGGAAGGUCGUAUUUAAGGUGGUAUUUGCGACCUCGAUGUUGGAUUAAGCUAUCUAUCAGGCGCAGCCGCUUGAUUAGAGGGUACUGUUCGACCGUUAAACAC
rnacentral:rRNA from 1 species